GCGAAUGUAGCUCAGAUGGUAGAGCACAAGCUUCCCAAGCUUGGGGUCGCGGGUUCGAUCCCCGUCAUUCGCU
rnacentral:tRNA from 1 species